UAAAACCAGCACCUCGAGUGGUCAGGAGGUUUAUUGGGCCUAAAGCAUCCGUAGCCGGUUGUUUAAGUUUUCGGUUAAAUCUAUGCGCUUAACGUAUAGGCUGCCGAAAAUACUGGACAGCUAGGGAGUGGGAGAGGUACACGGUACUCAAUAGGAAGGGGUAAAAUCCUUUGAUCUGUUGAUGACCACCUGUGGCGAAGGCGGUGUACCAGAACACGUUCGACGGUGAGGGAUGAAAGCUGGGGGAGCAAACCGGAUUAGAUACCCGGGUAGUCCCAGCUGUAAACGAUGCAAACUCGGUGAUGCAUUGGCUUGUGGCCAAUGCAGUGCCGCAGGGAAGCCGUUAAGUUUGCCGCCUGGGAAGUACGUACGCAAGUAUGAAACUUAAAUGAAUUGACGG
rnacentral:rRNA from 1 species